rnacentral:rRNA from 1 species
GACAGAGGGUGCAAACGUUGUUCGGAAUUACUGGGCGUAAAGCGCGUGUAGGCGGCGAUGCAAGUCGGAUGUGAAAGCCCAUGGCUCAACCAUGGAAGUGCACCCGAAACUGCGUCGCUAGAGUCUCGGAGAGGAAGGUGGAAUUCCAGGUGUAGCGGUGAAAUGCGUAGAGAUCUGGAGGAACACCGAUGGCGAAGGCAGCCUUCUGGGCCAACACUGACGCUCAUGCACGAAAGCGUGGGGAGCAAACAGG